rnacentral:rRNA from 1 species
GACGAACGCUGGCGGCGUGCUUAACACAUGCAAGUCGAACGGAAAGGCCUGUCCUUCCUUGUGUUGGACGGGUACUCGAGUGGCGAACGGGUGAGUAACACGUGAGUGAUCUGCCCCCAACUUGGGUAUAAGCCUGGGAAACUGGGUCUAAUUCCCGAUAGGACUGCAGGGUGGUGCCUGUGGUGGAAAACGAUUUUCUAGUGGUUGGGGAUGAGCUCGCGGCCUACCAGCUUGUUGGUGGGGUAAUGGCCUACCAAGGCGGCGACGGGUAGCCGGCCUGAGAGGGUGGACGGCCACAUUGGGACUGGGAUACGGCCCAGACUCCUACGGGAGGCAGCAGUGGGGAAUAUGGCACAAUGGGCGGAAGCCUGAUGCAGCGACGCCGCGUGGGGGAUGACGGCCUUCGGGUUGUAAACUCCUUUCGACCGCGAGGAAGCCGCCUGGUUGGAAGGGUGGUGACGGUAGUGGUAGAAGAAGCACCGGCUAACUACGUG